UCGGGGUCCAAAGGCUGGGAGGCCGCAGAGAACAUCCUGCAGGGCGUGGCCUAAGCAGCACGAGGGAUACAACUUGGGGCCUGGGCUGACCUGAAGCCACGAGGAGAGAAUAGUUCUACGGCAAAGCAGAGCCAGGGCCAAGGCAGAGACUCACCGGAAAGCAUCCCCCCAGCAGCCCCGUAUGUUUGAUGGGCCCCAGUGGAGAGCUGGCUAAUCUUGUUAAAAGAUAUUCAAGAUCUAAAGAAGAUCCAGAUCGGCCUGAAUAUGAGGUAUCAGUGUCCCCAUGCCCUACCCCACAGUGUGUGGCCGUUGUCUCCUUGAAGUGGAAGAGCAGGGACCAGAGGAUGCAGAAGAGGAAGGCGACAAGUGGACAGCAGACCGUGACCAGGGCCACCAUGGUGAAGCGGAGCCGUACCAGGGUCCCAUCCCGAUCCAGUGGUAGUGGGACCUGGUACAUCUUGUCAGACCUGGGGAUGGAGUGGCAUGCUGUCAGGGCCCCAGGCAGCCAGGCUGGCACUCAGUGAUAAAGUCAGCCCUUGUGCUCAGUCCUAA